rnacentral:rRNA from 1 species
UACGAGGGGGGCGAGCGUUGUUCGGAAUUAUUGGGCGUAAAGGGUGCGUAGGCGGUUUGGUAAGUCUGAUGUGAAAUCUAUGGGCUCAACUCAUAGUCUGCAUCGGAAACUGCCGGGCUUGAGUGUGGGAGAGGUGAGUGGAAUUCCUGGUGUAGCGGUGAAAUGCGUAGAUAUCAGGAGGAACACCUGUGGCGAAAGCGGCUCACUGGACCAUGACUGACGCUGAUGCACGAAAGCUAGGGGAGCAAACAGG